CCUACGGGAUGCUGCAGUGAGGAAUAUUGGUCAAUGGACGAGAGUCUGAACCAGCCAAGUAGCGUGAAGGAUGACUGCCCUAUGGGUUGUAAACUUCUUUUAUAUGGGAAUAAAAUGUUCCACGUGUGGGAUUUUGUAUGUACCAUAUGAAUAAGGAUCGCCUAACUCCGUGCCAGCAGCCGCGGUAAUACGGAGGAUCCGAGCGUUAUCCGGAUUUAUUGGGUUUAAAGGGAGCGUAGGUGGAUUGUUAAGUCAGUUGUGAAAGUUUGCGGCUCAACCGUAAAAUUGCAGUUGAAACUGGCAGUCUUGAGUACAGUAGAGGUGGGCGGAAUUCGUGGUGUAGCGGUGAAAUGCUUAGAUAUCACGAAGAACUCCGAUUGCGAAGGCAGUUCACUGGACUGCAACUGACACUGAGGCUCGAAAGUGUGGGUAUCAAACAGGAUUAGAUACCCUUGUAGUC
rnacentral:rRNA from 1 species